CAGUCCACCAUUUUGUGACAGGCCAUGCGCCGAGUCCACCAUUUUGUGUCAGGCCACAAGUCGGUCACCACCAUUUCGAGACAGGUCAUGGGGGCAGUCCACCGUUUUGUGAUAAGCCAUGGGACAGUCUGCCAUUUUGGGGCAGUCAGUGAGGUCAGUCCACCAUUUUGUGACAGGCCAUGGAGUCACUCCCCCAUUUUGUGACAGCCUGUGGGGUCGGCUGCUGCCCUUCCAGUGUGGACCAAAGGCUGACUAAAGCUCAAGGGGAUGGGGUGGAGCAGUGGCCAUCCCAUCUACACAGAGUUUGCCCAGUUCCCCUCUACUUCCCACCUCAUUGUUUUGAGCCAGUCAAGCAUUCCUCCAAUCUCCUACAGUCGUGGUGCAGGAAGCUGCUCACAGAUAGAUAAUUUAAACAUCUGGACUGGCAGGGAACUCCACUCGUUCUGUCUCCCUGUGUCCCACUCCUUUAGGGCAGAACUGAUUUAAAGCAUAACUACAAAACAUAUUGAGGUGUCUCAUAAGAGUUAGAACAUCCCAGAAAUGCUUCUCUGGCUUCCUUUGGCACUGAACCCAUGUUUUUGCUUCCAGAGUAAUCUAAAACGUUAUUUACAAGUGUGUUGUACUACAGCCCCCUUAAGUCUUUGGACUUGAAUCCUGGCUCGUUAGCAGCAAAUAAUGUGGCCUAGAAACUGAAACAAGGUUCACAAGGUCUUGGAAGCUAUGUAGGAAUAUGCAGGCAUGAGGGACUUGUACCUUCCAUGUCGUGAGCUGUGGGUAACGGAUAAGAUCAAAGAGUUGAGGGGGAAAAGAAGAUCAGCCCUGAACUGGAAUUCUGAGGACUUCUAUGCUUGUCUUACAUUUUUCAGGUUCUUCUACACAUAACCAAUGCAAUAUUAGCAUUUUUAGAUGGAUGAUAAGUAGAAAAAAGUAGUGUAAGAGUCCACUUAAAGCCUUUGUGAUUUCUUCUCCCUAAUUUUACUCCAUUUUUGUUGCAGCAAGGAUCCCAUCAGCCCAAGCCGCAGCACCGGGUAUGAAGGUGAAAUUUGUCUGGCCAGCCGAGUGUCCCUGCUGUCCAUGCACAGCUGCAGACAGGGCACUUGCUGCCCCAUAUGCCGAGGAGCACAGCCACCUGUGGCAUGUUUUAACAUUAAAAAUGCCAAGCACCUGCAACAGGUUUUGGCAUCUGUCACUGCAGCGUGAAUUGAGGCAGCUUGGGCUGUACGAGGCUGGCUCAGACCAGGCAAGGUACCAAAAGUUUUGCCUUUCUGUUCCAGAGCUUCACCUCUGCUGGCGUAUGGAAAACCCUCUGAGGAUCCAGGAGGAGUGAUGAGGGUGCCUGAAACACUGCAGGGAUAAGGACACAGGAGAACCACACUCAGAAACCAGGAGGAGAGUCCCCACGAGGAAGGUUUUGCUUCACAUUUUGACACCAUUAGGUGUUAGUUAUAUUAAACUGUACUAGACGGGAGUGAGGUCAAAUGAGAUUUCCUGCUUAAAAUGGAGGAGUUAAGUCACAAAAUGUGCUCAAUAAUAUACAGUGCCUGAGUUAAGAGGUGGCUGUUAUCACAGAUAUCAAGCUCUUCUGGAAGUUCUCUGUUUCCUGCACUGUUUCUGGUUUGGUGCAGCCCUGGACAAUGUCAGGGAUGUGGUGUCACCACUUGAAGAUCUCAGGAAGGACAAAUCAAUUUUGAAGGACUGAUAACUCCAGGCUUUGUGACGGACCAAAUCCUUGCUCUCCCCAGUUCCUUGGAGCUGAAGGUGCUCACCCACACUGACAGUUUAGACCCCCUGGCAUCGCGCCGAGGAGCUGCGGAACCAGAGUACACCUCGGGCCCAGCUGGGUGGCCAUCACUCGCCCUCCCAGGGUCCCCGCGGUGAAGGCUCUGUGAGGGCCGCGGCUGCGGGGGCCACACAGACGUCACCGCCGUUGGGAUGGAUCCAUAGGGAUGUGUGUCCCUUGUGACUGAUGCCGGGGACAUGACUGCUGUGCGGGAUGGGCCUGUCUCUGGGUUUGGGGCUCGGAGCUCUGCGAUCCCCCGGCUCUGCCGGGGCGGGGCGAGGGGCGGGGC